GGUUCGAUGGCGUAGUUGGUUAUCGCAUCUGUCUUACACGACUCUCACAGAAGGUCCUCGGUUCGAGCCCGGGUCGAGCCA